CAGUCGCCGCGGGAAUACAGAGGGUGCGAGCGUUAAUCGGAUUUACUGGGCGUAAAGCGUGCGUAGGCGGCUUCUUAAGUCGGAUGUGAAAUCCCUGAGCUUAACUUAGGAAUUGCAUUCGAUACUGGGAAGCUAGAGUAUGGGAGAGGAUGGUAGAAUUCCAGGUGUAGCGGUUAAAUGCGUAGAGAUCUGGAGGAAUACCGAUGGCGAAGGCAGCCAUCUGGCCUAAUACUGACGCUGAGGUACGAAAGCAUGGGGAGCAAACAGGAUUAGAUACCCGCGUAGUCCCUGUCUCUUAUCA
rnacentral:rRNA from 1 species